rnacentral:rRNA from 1 species
AUUGAACGCUGGCGGCAUGCCUUACACAUGCAAGUCGAACGGCAGCACGGGAGCAAUCCUGGUGGCGAGUGGCGAACGGGUGAGUAAUACAUCGGAACGUGCCCGAUCGUGGGGGAUAACGAAGCGAAAGCUUUGCUAAUACCGCAUAAGAUCUACGGAUGAAAGCAGGGGACCGCAAGGCCUUGCGCGAACGGAGCGGCCGAUGGCAGAUUAGGUAGUUGGUGGGAUAAAAGCUUACCAAGCCGACGAUCUGUAGCUGGUCUGAGAGGACGACCAGCCACACUGGGACUGAGACACGGCCCAGACUCCUACGGGAGGCAGCAGUGGGGAAUUUUGGACAAUGGGCGAAAGCCUGAUCCAGCCAUGCCGCGUGCAGGAUGAAGGCCUUCGGGUUGUAAACUGCUUUUGUACGGAACGAAAAGACUCUUUCUAAUAAAGAGGGUCCAUGACGGUACCGUAAGAAUAAGCACCGGCUAACUACGUGCCAGCCGCCGCAGUAAGAC